GGGCAGGGUCUGGUUGCAAGGUGCUGGGGGGAUUCUGCUCUGCUGCUCUGUCCCCGUCCUGACGGCCGACACGGGCACCAGGGAUGCUCCUCCCCACCAACUGGGGCAGGCACUGACACCGUUACUCUUCCAUUCUAUGUGUGGUUACCACGAUCAACCGGAGCUGUGCAUAGGCUACUCAUUUCUGUCGGUGAGCAUCAGAGAGGCGAGAUGAAGAUUUGCCUUUGGAAAUCACAAAAAUAGCCAGACCAUUGCUUUCCAGCAGACCGAAGCAGACUUUGGAGGAGGCUGGUGCGAAAGGCAAGCCAAGAUCCGGUGAUGUACCCACACCUUCGCUUAAUGAAUUCACUUUGCCAGAAUUUGAGUCUGUGUCUGCCCUUAGAAGGUGCCAGAGAGGAAAGCGGGAAAAGCAGCUUUCAUUUUUAUUUCUUUUGGGAAUGGACAUGUUCUGCAGUAAUUUAGAAUUCAAUCUGAAAGCAAUAUACAGUGUUAUCUUUGCAUGAUGCAAUGUUAUUACACGUUAAUUAGAUUAAUUGAAAUAUGUUAACUGGUGAUUAGUCAAAUGCACUUUAAUUGGAUAGAUGGCAUUACAGCACAGGGAAUAGUGACAGACACUUCUUACAGAUCUCUCCUACCUUUGGCUUCUCUGUUCAUGCAGUAAAUAGACUUUGCAUUUCCACUGCUGAACUUUACAUGAGCAGCGUUCUGUCUAUUGUGCCUCUGGGAUGUUCUUUGAUCCAUGCUGCUUAUGUUUUAUUGGAUUAAAACUACUUUAAUAACUGCAGAAAGCCGUGUUUGGAUUAAGGAGGAAAAUGAAAGCUAAAAGGAAGGAAACAAGGAGACUGAUCCCACACCUUGCUCAUCUGGCUCCAACUCACUGCACAAGCGAAGUCUGUGUGACAGGUGAGGGAUGGGCUGAAACGGGCACUUCUGAUUCCUGUGGAAUGUCACAGCAAAUGUUUACUAAACUUUUCUUAAACUUUUGCAAAUAUUGUCAUUUGGCAUUGCAUCUGCGGUCAGGAAACCCCUUGGUGCUGGGGAGCAGAGCAGCCGUAUCCAGCACUGAGUGUCGGUGCUGAGUCCCUGGUGCUGAUUGAGCUGAGCAGAUGUGGCAGAGGCUCCUGUGGUGUGGGAGCAGGGACAGCUAUGUCCAAGUGUGGGGACACUGGGGACCAUCCCCCAGCGUGGGGACACCAGGACCGUUCCCCUUCCAGCACCGCAUCUGCUCAGUGCAGUGGAGCUCAGGGCUCCCA